rnacentral:lncRNA from 1 species
UCUGCAGAUGAGAUUUACACCUUUUCGCUGUUUAUUUUAUUUACUUAUUUAAGAUUUUUUGUAAAUAACAGCUACAAUAAACCAUACUUCGUCGAAUUUGGAUGCUUUCUGUUUCCUUGAUCCAAAUUCUCAGAUAGGAACAAUAAUCUGUAUUGGAUAUCUAUAGUUAAUAGAAUAUGGAGAAUGCGUUGUAGCCUUUUAGUUG